GGCACGGUGGGUUAGUGAUUAGCAUGUUUGCCUCAUACCUCCAGAGUUGGGGAUUCGAUUCCCUCCUCUGCCC